GCGCUUUUAGUGUAAUGGUAGCACAAAGGUCUCCAAAAUCUUUAAUCUGGGUUCAAAUCCUAGUAAGCGCG
rnacentral:tRNA from 1 species